AGAGGAAUUACUGGGUCAUAUGGUAAAUUUAUAUUUAACUUUUUAAGAAAUUGCCAAACUGUUUUCCAAAGUGAGUAUACCAUGUACGUGCCCAUCAGGAAU
rnacentral:pre_miRNA from 3 species